rfam:Columba livia unplaced genomic scaffold scaffold277, whole genome shotgun sequence.
UUCUGGCUUUGAAGUUCACGAGCACUGGGGCUUGGAGGGACGUGGGGACCCACAGAGAUGCAACCUGGGCAGGUGAAGGA